rnacentral:tRNA from 1 species
GGAUAUUGUAAUUCAUGGUUGAAUAGAUUAAUUGCAAAUUAAUUUGUAUAUAGAGUUCGAUUCUCUCAAUAUUCU